rnacentral:rRNA from 1 species
AAGAGACAGCAGUAGCCGCGGGAAUACGUAGGGUGCAAGCGUUAAUCGGAAUUACUGGGCGUAAAGCGUGCGUAGGCGGUUCGUUAAGUCUGUUGUGAAAGCCCCGGGCUCAACCUGGGAAUGGCAAUGGAUACUGGCGAGCUAGAGUGUGUCAGAGGAUGGUGGAAUUCCCGGUGUAGCGGUGAAAUGCGUAGAUAUGCGGAGGAACACCGAUGGCGAAGGCAAUCCCCUGGACCUGUACUGACGCUCAUGCACGAAAGCGUGGGGAGCAAACAGGAUUAGAUACCCGAGUAGUCCCUGUCUCUUAUAC